CUCAGCUCUAGUCCGCCUGCCAGCCUCAGCCCUGCGUGAGCCGACUGCCCGCCUACAAUCUCAGGCAGCCGGUCACCUCAAGGGCUGAAAAGGCUUACAAAGCCCUUGGCGACCAGCAAAUUUGUCAAGCCCUGAGUUAUUGACACUACUGGACGUCAGUCAACAGACAAAGAAUGUUGAUGCCAGAUGCACCGGAUAAGCG